rnacentral:misc_RNA from 1 species
GAAAUGCGAUACGUAAUGCGAAUUGCAGAAUCCAGUGAGUCAUCGAAACUUUGAACGCACCUUGCGCUUCCGGGUAACCGGGAGCAUGUCUGUUGGAGUGCCUGUUCUCAACCACAACUUUCUCUGUUCGUGAGAGGAAGCAGUGUCUGCUUUGUUUUUGCCUCGCAAGGGGGCGAAAACACUGCAUUGAGAUGAAAGGCCUUCAAGUCAACUCUUCUUCCAACUCGAACACACACAAAACAAACACGGGUUGUGAAUGUCGUGAUUUUACCUUCCGGUAGUCACAAAACACAUUCAUCAACAGCAACUCGUCUUUGUUGCUGCGAGGUUAGAAGGAAAAAGAGCGCACACACACCCGAUUCAACUCCAAAUCGGGCCUCCAAUCAGACAAGAGGACCCGCUGAAUUUAAGC